UGCCAGUGAUAAACUGGAGGAAGGUGGGGAUGACGUCAAGUCAUCAUGGCCCUUACGAGUAGGGCUACACACGUGCUACAAUGGCAUAUACAAAGAGAAGCGACCUCGCGAGAGCAAGCGGACCUCAUAAAGUAUGUCGUAGUCCGGAUUGGAGUCUGCAACUCGACUCCAUGAAGUCGGAAUCGCUAGUAAUCGUAGAUCAGAAUGCUACGGUGAAUACGUUCCCGGGCCUUGUACACACCGCCCGUCACACCAUGGGAGUGGGUUGCAAAAGAAGUAGGUAGCUUAACCUUCGGGAGGGCGCUUACCACUUUGUGAUUCAUGACUGGGGUGAAGUCGUAACAAGGUAACCGUAGGGGAACC
rnacentral:rRNA from 1 species